rnacentral:misc_RNA from 1 species
UCUCCGUAGGUGAACCUGCGGAGGGAUCAUUACAGAGUUCAUGCCCUACCGGGUAGAUCGCCCAUCCCAUGUUUUUAUUACGUUGUUGCUUUGGCGGGCCGUAAGGCUUCGGCCCCAGCUCCGGCCCCGCCAGGUAAGGGCCCGCUAGAUGACCCAAAAGCCUGAACAUUAGUGACGUCGGAGUAUCAUAUAAUAGGCAAAAUUUUCAACAACGGAUCAAUUGGUUCUGGCAUCGAAAUAGAACGCAGCUGAACGGAAGACGCUACGGCUGAACUCCUG